GUCGUUGUAGUAUAGUGG
rnacentral:ncRNA from 2 species